rnacentral:misc_RNA from 1 species
AUUCCAACACAGCCUCACAGUAAAUCCCUUCAUCUUCAUAUAAAAUACGGCUUGUUGACAAAGAAAAAAGGCUUGAUCUUGAAGAGAUAGCCUGUAGCCGGCCAUGGCCCUGCUUAGCUCUAUCUGCUUUGAGAUGGGCGGCAAGGAAGGGAAGACUGGUGUAGGAUAAUCAACGGUUAAAGGUGCAUUCUUAGAAGUGGAAACUGGUGGGGAUGACAUGGGGUUGCUUGAUGAAUGGUGAAGAGAGCAGCAA